AAAAAGAAAGAGAAAGGAAGAAGAAAAGAAGAGGAGAAAAGAAAACAUUAGACUAUUCACACCCCUCUGUAUCUCUCUCCCUCCCUCUCUCGCUAUGUGUGUAUUUA
rnacentral:ribozyme from 13 species